GGGUCAUAGUCAAAGUGUCAGCUGGUGACUUUAGGCAUGCCUAGGCCAUGGCUGCGUGAUUCCAUUCUCUGGCCUGUCUUCAUGAGGAAUCCUCUGCAGCUCUGCCUUCUGCUUCUUAAAAGGACACUUGUCUUCAGAUUUAAAGCCCACCUGAGUAAUCUGGGGUAACCUUAUCUCAAGAUCCUUAAUUAUGUAUGAAAAGACAAACUUUUGAUUUUAUUUAAGAUUUAUUUUAUUUGAAAGAGCAAGACACACACACACAGGGAGAGAGAGAGAAGGAGAGAGAGAGAGAGAGAAUAUUUUAUCUUUAUAUCUGCUAGUUCACUCUCCAAAUGACCAAAAACAGCCAGGCCUGGCCAGGCUGAAGUCAGCAGCCUGGAACUCCAUCUAGUUCUCCCACAGGGGUGGCAGAGGCCGAAGUACUUGGACCAUCUUCCACUGAAUUCCCAAGCACAUUAGCAAGGAGCUGGCUUGGAAGCAGAGCAGCCUAGACUCAAACUGACCCUCUAAUAAGAAGUACCAGUGUUACAACUGGCAGUCUGAUCUGGAGCACCACAGUUCCUUCUCCAAGACACAUUUCUAAAUGAGGUCACAUUCACCAGUUUGGGGAACUAGGAAGUGGACAUAUUUUGUGAUGCUAGUGGUCUGAGAGACCACUUAUUUAAACAGUUACUCAGAUAGCAAUAUAAACACCUUAUCACUUUUGGGUUUCCUUUCCUUAGCUUGAGGAAGCUAUCAAUACUCUGUCCUCUUUGUCUCUUGUUCUGGUUAGAGGUGGAUACUGGGGUAAGGGUCAACUGACUACAGACUAUUUUACACUCUCAAUUCAGUGUGAUUAUUAAUUGUGUUCUCUUUUCACUCUCAAAAUUGUCCGAUUUGGGAUAAAUUACAUGAGCAUCCUAUUUAGUAAAUCUUACAUGUAGGUGUCCGGAAGCUUUGUUUCCUACUCUUUGGGCCCUUGGUACCCAAACAUCUUGGCAGUGACAGAAAAAUAUUUCUUUAACACAAUUGCACUUAUUAUUAAUAUUCAUUCCAUAAAAGUGAGUACCUCAGAGUUUGGAGGUUUAUAAUCUUAUGACUCCUGAAAAAGAAGAGAGAAAUAAGGAGCAAAUAUUCCAGUGAUUGUAUUUUUAAAAAGCAAGGCUGGAAAGAUCUUAUCUGAACAUAUGUCUGAAAAUUUGUCAUGAGGCACGAGCAAGAAACUUCAUCCUAGAUUCUUUUAGAAUUUGGGAUUACUCAGAUAAUGUUUCCCAACAGCCCACUCUACAGAGAAAGGACAGGGUAUUUGAGGCUCUGCAGGUGUGGGCCACCCCCUGUAUACUUGCUUAAACUUUUGAUGGGUUCAAAGCAGGUCUGCAUGUCAAAGCAGGAAUAAUUCCAACAGGCAAGAACAUAGCCAAGUCCACCAAAGCCAUAAUCAAUGGAAAAGAAUUGACCUCAUGAGGUUGGUUAAUUGAUUCUACCCAUGAUGUUGUGACUGCAUUCUCAGCUUCCAAUACAAGUGGAUAAUUCCCAGGUCUCAGUUUCUUCCUGUGUUAAAUGGAAUUGUUGCAUUUAUUCCGUGGUCCUUACCUAUACAAGACAACCCUCUUCAACUACCCAAUUACUAUUAAUUCUCCUGAUAUUAAGAUAAUGUUACUUCUUCAGUACUCUGUUCUGAUAACACUGCACCACAUCCCUCCUACCUUAGGAUUUCAGGCUCUGUGAAGAGAUAUAAAGGUGUCUAUUCAUGUUUACUCAUAGAAUCUGACAUCCAACCCGUACUCAAUAAAUCUUUGUUGAAUGACUAGAAAAUUUUAACAUAUUGGUGGUUCUCUCCCAUUUGGGGAUCAUGGACAUUUGAAGCAUGAAUGAAAUCUAUGGACUUUCUCAUUAGGUUCACAACCACCAUCUGAGUUUACUCAUGGAUGCUGGAUUAAAACGCAUAUAGAAUGAUUGAUUAGUCAAGCCUCCACCAUCCCUGAUAUUCUAAGAUGCCAUAACAUAAGAAGCCUCCAAGAUUUCUCCAAAUAUGGAUCUCGGUUUCUCUUGAUGUAAAAGAUAAAGCAGAAUCUAACACAACCACAGUGAGAUAUCACAGGACCAUAAAUAAUUGAUGGCCCCAACAAUUAAAGGCAUUUCAGAAAAGGAAAGUGUAUGAUCACAAAGUUAUGGAGGUCUUUGAAAUAGAAGGGCCUUUCCCAUCAUCUACUUAAUCCUUUAUUCAAAGCAACAAUACACUCAACAUGUCAAACUAGAAAGCAUUCAUAAUAGGAACUCUUUUUUUUGUUGUUGUUGUUGUUGUUGUUAGCAAAAGCGAAAAAGUUGGCCCAUGGCUGGUAUUCAAUGUAAGAGCAUCUUUUAUCCUGCUCUUGAAUGGUAUUUAAAAAUUAAGAGAAUUUACAUUUGAAAAUCCAGAUUUCUGAGUUUCCCCCAUAAAACUGUGAAACUAAAAAUACCGGGUCUCUUUGCUCACAGAGAAACAUGGCAAGAACUGAGUGACUAUUCCUACACAGGGUUCUUCUUUGUCCCCAUAUGGACUUUUACACAUUCUUAACCACUACACAUACUUAGACACCUGGCCUGGUUCAUGCCUGUGCAUUACUGCUCUGUGUUCUGUGGCUGUGGUGUGCAGAAGAUGAGAUAGGAAGCUUUUACUUGUAGCAUUUGCCGAUUUCAGGGGAUAAUGAUCAAUUUUAAGCUACCAAUUAUGAUAUUUGUCUACUUGUUAGUUUCCUUAAAAAUGAACAGUUAUUUUUCCUGAAUAAGUACAAGUUAACUCUAGCAUUCUACUGUUACUGAUGAACUUAAAAUGAUAGAAAACCAAAUUUAUUUGAAUUGAACCAGAACUUCACUUCUAGAAUUCCCACUUACGUUCCUAGAUCUUCCCUAUGUAUCAGUACAGGAUAUAUUUUAGAUUUCUUUUAUAAGACAGCCUUAAAUUUACUACUAUGUCUUAAAAUAAAUUUUAUUGUGCAUACUUAAGGGAUGUAACAUGUUAACAUACAGCAUAUAUAAUAAAAUUAUUAAUAUAGUGAAAUAAAUUAACAUAUCUAUCAUCUCACGUAGUAACCUAUCUCCCCUGCCACCCUUCUUCCUCCCCCCAACCCUAUGACAGAAGCAGCUUUAACCUACUCAUUUAACAAAAAUCCUGAGUAUAGCACAUUAUUACGAAUUACAGUCUUCAUUUUGAACAUCAGAAUUUUAGGCCUGUUAGUCCUACAUAUCUACUACUUUAUCCUGUGGCCUCCAUCUCUCCAUUUCCUCUCCACCACCAGAUCCUGGUAAUUACCAUCUCUAUCUCCGUGUAGUUAGCCUUUUUAUUUUUAAGAUUCCACAUAUAACUGAGAUCAUACAAUAUUUUUCUUUCUUGUUUUGGCUUAUUUUUCUUAGAAUAAGUUUCUCUGAGUUGAUUCAUAUUGUGGCAAGCAGCAAAAUAUUCUUUCUGUAGACUGUUGUAAUAUAUAUAUAUGUAGAUAUAUAUACAUAUAUAUGUACACAGUUUCUUUACCUAUUAACUCAUCAAUGGACACUUAAUUAUGUAUUUUUACUUCUAAGGAAAGAAAUACAUCACGUACUAUCAAAGCUCCAAAAUCUAUCUUUUUCUCACCUUGCAAAAGACAGCUUUUAUGCCUAUAUGUGUAAGAGUGAUGUGAUUAUAUGGGUUUCAUUUUUUUUUAUUUUGUGAGCUCUUCAAUGUUUUCCAAACUUUUACAGUAAAUAUGUAUUACUUAUAUUAAUGUUCCCUCAUUUACUAUAAAGCAAAAUUAUUUCUAUAUUCUACAUGUUCAGUACAGAAUUAAACAACUUGCACUAUGAUAGGAAACAGAAAUGAUCUUCAGAUCACCAUCAUUUACCUAAUUAGGUUGGUACAUUUUCGGCAUUUGGUAUAAAUUAAUAUCGAUUGGUAGCUAAAUUUUCCUGUGGAAUAAGAAGUGUGAAGGAGUGAAAAUGAAGACAAAUUAGGAGAGAGGCAUUAAGGCGAUAGAAGUCAGUGGGAAGAGGAUUAAGCUGCCUUUUAAAAAACCAGUUUCUAUUUACCAUAUAGUUAUUCCUGAUAAAAGGGCAAUGCAGAAAGUGCCUAAUGCUCCCUGUUUUGCCAGUCAUCUCCCAGUAGCAAUAACUAAAAUUUCCUAACCAAGAAUCACACUCGGGAAAUUCCAGAGGAAUUUUUUUAUCUUAGGCUUAUCUAUCUCAGAGACCUCUAAAGCCCUUUUCCAAAUCAAGCAUAUCUAGUCCUGGAAUCACAUACUCACACACAUAUACACACAAAUAAUUUCUAAUACUUUUUGCAUUUUUAAAAAACAGUAAUGCUCAAAUUUCUUCCUAAAUAAGAUUAAAAAAAUUCCCUUUUUAUGAAAGGGAAGAAUUAAUUCUGAGCAAUUUGUACAUCACUGUAUCCAAACAGUCAUAGAGAAAACAUUCUUUAUGUGAAAAAUCCAGGUAACAAUGUCUGAAUUACAUAGCACUCAAUUAGUAUUAAGUGAAUUAAUAAAUUAUAUGAAUAAUCUUUUAAAAUUUCCCUCUGAAAAGACAUUUAUACUCACAAUGAAUAUACAGAAGGCUGACUGACAGUAGACUGAUUUUUUUGGCAAAUAGGAUAGAUAUACUUUUUAUAGCUAAUAUUAAGUAGUCAGGAGAACAGAAACAGUAGGCCUGAUUAUGAUAUUAUAGAUAGGCCUUGUUGAAAUGGAUGUAUACUGCAAGUGGUCAUACAAAACAUAAUGAUUAAAUAUUUUACCUUUUAGAACUGCCCAUAUCAUUAUUCCAAUGAGUUAAAACACCCAAAAUAAGCUACAUCAUUGAGUUCAUUUUGAUUCUCAAAAAUACGCAAACUCAUUAGUCAUAUUUGGAGGAUUUUCAGGAACCAAUUUAACUCUUCUAAAACUGAUCAAUAAAGGGGAAGAAUUAAUUCUGAGCAAUUUGUACAUCAGCCUAUCCAAACAGUCACUGAGAGAAAGUUCUUUAUGUGAAAAAUACAGGCAAUAAAUAUGUAAGGAAUAAUAGAAUUAAAACUCCACAAUUUGGCAGCCUCAAGUGCAGAUAAUUGAUUUAAGUAAAGACCACUAAAUGGUCCUAAAACUGUUAAGCGAAAUGCUGAUGGGAAUCUUUAAUGAAUGAAUUGGAUUGGCAACACCUAAACCUCUGUUUAACAUUAAUAUGAAAGAGAGAGAGAGAGAGAGAGAGAGAGAGAGAGAGAGUUUAAUUACUGGUUGUAGCCCUUGUCUCUACCUUUGUGUUCUUUUUUCUUUUUAUUGAAUUAUUUACUUAGUGGAGGGUUAAUCUUAUGCUUUUAAAAUAAACUGAAAUUAUGCCAUUUUAAAAAUUAAAAGAAAAAGUAAAAAAGGAAGGAGAAGGAGAGUGGGAAGUAUCACUAUUGUCCUAAAUCUGUAUAUAUGAAAUACAUGAAUUUGUUCACUUUAUGUAAAUAAAUAGAAAAUUGUUGAAAAAAUAAAAAGAGGGAAUAUUAGACAUGAUGAGCUCUUCAGAUAAUGUAAUUAAUGAAUUCAUAACCAUCUCUGAAGUAUUACUGCCCCAAAAAAUGAAACCUGAACCCAGUUGGAUCCUUAAAUAAAACAAGUUAUUGAGAAAUAAAAGCCAGAACACAGUAAGUAACAUCACAGGGAUGUGAUCAGCAAACUCCAGAGUGUAGGAUUUGAUUUAAAAAAAAAAAUGGAAGUGGUGAGUUUACAUCAAGCAAGAUGGGCCACGUAUUGUUUGAUGUUGAAUCUGAGCGCUAGAUAACACAGGGUGUGUCCUAACAUUAUCUCUAUUCUAUAUUCUUGUAUGUGUACCAGUUAGUUAUUAUAACAGUGCUUUAUAACAAUCAUGAAACUCCACUGGCCCAACCCACUAGAUAUACACAGUCCAUCCUUCUCUGGUCAACUGUGAACUGUGAUUGGUGCUGCUGACCUUGGCUGGGCUCAUUCCUGUGUCUGCUUUCAGCUGGCUAUCAACUAGCCUAGGGUGACUGUGGUUGGAAGACUGGGUUGGAGGACUGAUUGGAGGACUGGAGUGACCCAGCAUGCUUCACAAAUAUCUCAUGCUUCAACAGGACAACCAGUAAUGUUUGUAUUGCUAUGGUAGAGGUGCAAGAGGGAAAAAAGAAACAUGUGAAGCCUGAUAAGGCUUUGGCCUGAAACUACCUUCGUUUUAUUGAUCCCAGCAAGUCACAUAGUGUGGGGAGCAACUCGGACUAGACUAAGUUACUGGAAUUAAGACUUAUUCUAUGCAUCUGCUCUCCCACAACAUGGCGCUGGGAGAGGAGUAAACAACUUCUGCACAGCUGCCUCCAGUUCGACCAAUAACCUGCAGGAGCUGAUCCUGCUCCUGAUUGGAGGAGAGCAGAGUACUCGGCGUGUGGGUAGCAGAGUUGGGAUUGGUGGAAGAGGACUAUAAAGGAGGAGAGAGACAACAUGCACCAGGAACAUCUAAGGGGAACAUCCGGAUAAAUCUGAGCAGCCCCCAAGAGAGCUGGCCGGCGGUGUGCUGCUCCCCUGCGGAAGUGGGGAAAGUGGCAGGGGGAGCCGCCCUUCCACGGAGGUGGAAGGGACAGUAGCCAACCCGGGAAGAACCAGCAGCAAACCCGGGGAGGGCCGAGCAGACGAAAGAACAGCGCAGGGUCCUGUGUCAUUCCUCCACGAAUGGGGGAGCGACAACAUAGCAAAGAGUAGCAGGCAACAUAGUCAUGUGGCAAAAGGAAAGGCAUAGGGAAAGGUGAAAAUUUGAGGCCAGUAUAUAUUUGACAUUCUUCAAAAUUAAAUUUUAAUAAGUAGUUGUGUAUAACAUUGACAAUACCAUGAAAAGUAUAAAAAUUUAUUUUGAUACUAAAGUUGCUUAUCUAAAAAAGUAAAGCUUUAAGAUAAUUUUUGUCAAAUUUUUGCAUAAGUCAUUAUGGUACUAUUUUUUUCAUGUAAACAUUUUAAAUACUAAUUAGAUUUUGGGGCCGGCGCCACGGCUCACUAGGCUAAUCCUCCUGCGGCACUGGCACACUGGGUUCUAGUCCCAGUCGGAGCACCAGAUUCUGUCCUGGUUGCCCCUCUUCCAGGCCAGCUCUCUGCUGUGGUCCGGGAGUGCAGUGGAGGAUGGCCCAAGUGCUUGGGCCCUGCACUCCGUGGGAGACCAGGAGAAGCACCUGGCUCCUGCCAUCGGAUCAGCGCGGUGCGCUGGCCGCAGUGCGCCAGCUGCGGUGGCCAUUGGAGGGUGAACCAACGGCAAAAGCAAGACCUUUCUCUCUGUCUCUCUCUCUCUCACUGUCCUCUCUGCCUGUCAAAUAUAUAUAUAUAUAUAUAUAUAUAUAUAUAAAUUAGAUUUUGUUUACAAAGUGUUUUUUGUAGGGGUUGGCAUCUAAGUGCUUAAAGCUGAAAGCAAUAGGAGCCAGCACUGUAGUUUAGCAUGUAAAGCCACCGCCUGGAGUCCCGGCAUCCCAUGUGGGCGCUGGUUGGGACCCAGCUGCUCCACUUCCGAUCCAGUUCUCUGCUAUGGCCUGGGGAGGCAGUGGAAGAUGGCUCAAGUCCUUGGACCCCUGUACCGACGUGGAAGACCUGGAAGAAGUUCCUGGCUCCUGGCUUCGGAUCGGUACAGCUCCAGCCAUUGUGGCCAAUCGGAGAGUUAACCAGCGGUUGGAAGACCUCUCUCUCUACUCUUCUGCCUCUCCAUCUCUGUGUAACUCUAUCAAAUAAAUAAAUCUUUUUUAAAAAUAAAUAAAAAACAAAGUAAUAAUAAUAAUUGCUACAGUUAAAAUUCUUAGAUAAAAGUCACACUCUGUGAAGAGAUCAUGGUUAUAAAAUGAUAAUAGCUCUAAUAUUACUUAUACAUUGAAUAAAUUAUUUUAUUAUUAAUGUAAUAUCUCAUUUAAAAUAUAAUUAUGCAACUGAGUGUGAACAUGCUGAAAAGUAUAGCUGUCAGAAUCUUUUAAAGCUUUCUUUAUGAAAGCAAAAUACAAUCCAAUAAACAGAAAAGGCAGAAAUCAUCUAUAUGCCCCAAAGUGAAGUUAGUUUGAAUUAUUACUUGACUUUUUAAUCUGAUGUUCCCUGACUUGAAUAAGUGUGUGGGCCAUUCUGGAUUUAGUCUUCCCACUGACAAAAAUUUGUUUUCUGUUCCAUCAUAGGAAAAUUGGUACAAUUACACAAAGAAGAUAUUACUUAUAUUAUUGUCAUUAUUGAACACUUUUACUAGAUAAAUUUAAAACAGGCAAUUUCUGGGGCCAGCGCUGUGGCUCAGCAGGUUAAAGCCCUGGUCUGAAGCGCCAGCAUCCCGUAUGGGCGCCGGUUCUAGUCCUGGCUGCUCCUCUUCCAGUCCAGCUCUCUGCUAUGGCCUGGGAUAGCAGUAGAAGAUGGCCCAAGUCCUUGAGCCCCUGCACCCGCAUGGGAGAUCUGGAAGAAGCUCCUGGCUCCUGGCUUCGGAUCAGCACAGCUCCGGCCGUUGUGGGCAUCUGGGGAAUGAACCAAUGGAUGGAAGACCUCUCUCUGUCUCUACCUCUCUCUGUACCUCUGUGUUUCAAAUAAAUAAAAGUAAAUCUUUAAAAAAUAGGCAAUUUCUAAAACAUAUCUUGUUAAACUGCAUUAUUUUUCAGACUGGUAGGAGUUGUGCAAUUGGGAUUUACCCCAGUUUCUCUCCAUGUUAUUUACUUAUUUAUUUAUAUUUAUAUUGACAUGUUGGAGACCUAGCACCUGUUGGGUUCUGUUCUUGGAAAUGAUGAGAUCAGAUUAUGUAACAAGAUCAGUCAAUGGAGUGUUGUACAGGAAAAACAGGCUAUCAAUAAAGACCAGGGCUAAUUUCAGCAAGUACUACACAGAAAGGGAGAGUAUCAGAGUGGGAAGACAAAUUUGGACUUUAGAGGGGAGCAAAUUUGGAAUUAACAUAGUCAGAGAAGACAGCUCUGUGAAAGACACUACACCAUGAGAAUAAACUAGGCAGAUAAGCACACAUGGAGAGGAAUCUAGGCAGUGGCAAGGAGCUGAUAUAAAGGCCAGAAAUAUCCUGGUAUCAGAAAGUAGGUCACUGUGUCUAAAGCCUAAAGAGAGUUGAGGGAGGGCUCCCAUUUGGGUUUCUGAGAAAAAUGGAAGGCAACUAAUGUGUUACAGGCAACAGCAAUCAAAGAUCAAAUGUGUCCCAUAAAACAGUUUUCUAAUGGAAAAUUUCCUUUAUAU